GAGCCCUGCACCAUAAGCUGAAGAUUCUGAGCUCUCCUCAUCUAGAUGGGAAUAUAUAUUCUCUAAAUUGGAAAAAAAGAAAGAGAAUUCAUACUAUAAAGCCUGAAAAAGUUGCACACCCUCAAUCUACCACCUUCUGAGCUGUUACUUAUGUGGAACAUACUUGAAAAGGGAAAUAUGAAAUUGUAUUGCUGCACAACUCAUGAAAGUUUUCGUUUCUAAGUAGAAUGAAGUUGUUUCACCUCACUGUGAAAAAAGCCUUACGUAUACUGUCAUGAAGAGCUUCCUGCAUAGCUAAGUCCUUUUGAAUACAAAACUCCAGGAGUAAAAAUCCUUUCAGAAUAUCAUACAGCAUCUCUCUGAUUUGUAAUGCAAUACUUCUUUUGGAAACAAAUCACCAUCAUGCACUGAACUAAGAAUUUGCUACAAGUUUCAACACAGCGUGAAAUGUGGAAAGGAAGGAGGAAGAG